AUUAUUCAGGGAAGGAAGAGAAAACAAACGUGAUUUCCCUAGUAACGGCGAGUGAACAGGAAAAAGCCCAUCGCGAAGGGGAACUGGUGAAAGUCAGAUCCCGGUGCCGCGUAAGGCUGCAGAUUAUGUGGUGACUUUUGGCUGUAUAUGUAUCUGGAAUGGUACUACCAUAGAGGGUGACAGUCCCGUAUCGGCUUUAAGUUUACUGCAUGCUUCUGUAGUCCUAAGAGUCAGCUUGAUUGAGAGUUCAAGCUAAAUCGGCAGGUAGACUCCUGCUAAGGCUAAAUAUUUCCACCAGACCGAUAGCAAACAAGUACCGUGAGGGAAAGUUGCAAAGAACUUUGAAGAGAGAGUUCAAUAGUACGUGAAACGGCUAAGAGGUAAGCAAAUAGAGUGCUAAAGGUGGCUAUCGUGAACCACUCUUGGAGCCUUGGUUUUAAGCUGAGUCUCCGGAGGUACAUCACAAGCCGCGGUACUGAGCAUCAAAAUGAUCAUUUCUACGGCAUGCAAGGAGUUGGGGCGAACACUUCGGUGGUCACCCUGCCUUGUGUGUCAAAUGGAUAUGAUGUAUCUGAUGUGCCAAUACUUGCUUCGGCAAGGUUAGUAGGGUGCGAAAGCUGGAGGCCAGAGGUGGUUGGCUUUAAUUGGUACGAGACUGCUUCAUUGCGACUCCUCCUUCUAAGUUAACUACCUGACAGCACCAGUCUAGCAUUGUACAAUCAGUACAGUUGGCGUACUCUAUUUGUCCCGUCUUGAAACACGGACCAAGGAUUCUAGCAUAUGGCCGAGUCUGUCAGUCUUGCUUAGGCUGGGAGGCGAAAUGAAAGUAACACGUGAUGAUCCAUGUAAUGUGGCGCAAUCACGACCUGCGAAAGUGGCGUGUAGGCCAUACGCUGGUACCCGAAAGAUGGUGAACUAUGCCUGGGCAGGAUGAAGCCAGAGGAAACUCUGGUGGAGGUCUGUAGCAGUUCUGACGUGCAAAUCGAUUGUCAGACCCGGGUAUAGGGGCGAAAGACUAAUCGAACCAUCUAGUAGCUGGUUCCUUCCGAAGUUUCCCUCAGGAUAGCUUGGCACCGGUGUACUAGUUGUUCCCGGUAAAGCGAAUGAUUAGAGGCCGUGGGGAGAAAGAUCCUCACCCUAUUCUCAAACUUUAAAUGGGUUCGAGUGAUGGGUAGCUUCGGCAUGUACCCUCACACGGAAUGUAUGGUGCCAAAGUGGGCCAUUUUUGGUAAGCAGAACUGGCGCUGUGGGAUGAACCAAACCCCGCGUUAAAGCCAAGAACUAACCGCUCAUGAGGUCCCAUGAAAGGUGUUGAUGGCUCAUGACAUCAGGACGGUGGCCAUGGAAGUUGGAAUCCGCUAAGGAGUGUGUAACAACUCACCUGACAAAGCAAUCAGCCCUGAAAAUGGACUUGACUGAAGCGGUUGGCUUAUACGCGGGCCAAGGGUGAAAUUAAAUAGUUAUCUCCCUUGGAGUAGGAAGGACGUGGUGGUGGCAUUGAAGCACAUGCAGUGGUGCAGUGUGGAGCCGCCACCAGUGCAGAUCUUGGUGGUAGUAGCAAAUACUCUAGUGAGAUGCUUGAGGGCCGAGGAGGAGAAGGGUUCCAUGUAAACAGUAGUUGAACAUGGGUAAGCCGGUCCUAAGCUGGAAGGCGAAAGCCUGAUGAUAUGUGGCAGGAUGGACUUGUCCAAACUGACUUACACAUUAUUAAAGCGAAAGGGAAUCAGGUUAAAAUUCCUGAGCCUUGAGGCGGAGUAGGUGGUACCUCGUGUGCUAACCUUUGGCGGUAACGCAAGCAUCAUGGAAGAUGUCUUCGCGAGUCCCGGGAAGAGUUAUCUUUUCUUUGUAAGCAGGCGAGUCCCUGGAAUUGGUUCACCCAGAGAAAGGGAUAUAGCUGGCGUAAAGCUGCACAGCUCUGGUGCAGUCCGGAUCACUCGUGAGGGCCCUUGAAAAUUUCAUGAUGCGGAGGACAAUACUCACGCCCAAGUCCGUACCCAUAUCCGCAGCAGGUCUCCAAGGUGAACAGCCUCUGGUCAAAUAGAACAAUGUAGGUAAGGGAAGUCGGCAAAACCGAUCCGUAACUUCGGGACAAGGAUUGGCUCUGCUGCUCAAGAGGUCGAGGGUCUGAGAAGGGAAGUUUGCAGCUGUUGGCUUUUAAGCUUUGCUUCGGCAUUGCUUGAAGGCUGAUCUAGUUGCAAGCAUAAACCCGAAUCGGUCUGAAUGUAAGCUUCUGUUUGCAUUCAAACUCGCCUCAAUAUGACAUGAGUAAAGCAGAACUGGCACGGACCUAGGGAAUCCGACUGUCUAAUUAAAACAAAGCAUAGAGAUGGUCUCGGCGGAGAUGUUGACUCUAUGUGAUUUCUGCCCAGUGCUCUGAAUGUUAACGGGUAGAGAUACCCUUAAGCGCGGGUAAACGGCGGGAGUAACUAUGACUCUCUUAAGGUAACCAAAUGCCUCGUCAUCCAAUUAGUGACGCGCAUGAAUGGAUUAACGAGAUUCC
rnacentral:rRNA from 1 species